AGAAUCAACGCUGGCGGCGUGCCUAACACAUGCAAGUCGCACGAGAAAGGGGAGGCAAUCCCUGAGUACAGUGGCGCACGGGUGAGUAACACGUGAAUAAUCUACCUCCGAGUGGGGGAAUAAACUGAGAGAAAUCUUAGCUAAUACCGCAUAACACUUACGAGUCAAAGCAGCAAUGCGCUGAAAGAGGGGGUCGCGGCCGAUUAGCUAGUUGGCGGGGUAAUGGCCCACCAAGGCAGUGAUCGGUA
rnacentral:rRNA from 1 species